rnacentral:rRNA from 1 species
GAUGAACGCUGGCGGCGUGCCUAAUACAUGCAAGUCGAGCGAACGGACGAGAAGCUUGCUUCUCUGAUGUUAGCGGCGGACGGGUGAGUAACACGUGGAUAACCUACCUAUAAGACUGGGAUAACUUCGGGAAACCGGAGCUAAUACCGGAUAAUAUUUUGAACCGCAUGGUUCAAAAGUGAAAGACGGUCUUGCUGUCACUUAUAGAUGGAUCCGCGCUGCAUUAGCUAGUUGGUAAGGUAACGGCUUACCAAGGCAACUAUGCAUAGCCGACCUGAGAGGGUGAUCGGCCACACUGGAACUGAGACACGGUCCAGACUCCUACGGGAGGCAGCAGUAGGGAAUCUUCCGAAAUGGGCGAAGGCCUGACGGAGCAACGCCGCGUGAGUGAUGAAGGUCUUCGGAUCGUAAAACUCUGUUAUUAGGGAAGAACAUAUGUGUAAGUAACUGUGCACAUCUUGACGGUACCUAAUCAGAAAGCCACGGCUAACUACGUG